rnacentral:rRNA from 1 species
AGGACGAACGCUGGCGGCGCGCUUAACACAUGCAAGUCGAGCGAUAACCAUGGCUUCGGCCAUGGGGAGAGCGGCGAACGGGUGAGUAACACGUGAGUGAUCUGCCCUCGACNCUGGGAUAGCCCGGGGAAACCCGGAUNAAUACCGGAUAGCCUCUCGAGCUCUCGGGCUCGUGAGAAAAGAUGGNUUCNGCUUUCGGUUGAGGAGGAGCCUGCGGCGGAUUAGCUUGUUGGUGAGGUAACGGCCCACCAAGGCGACGAUCCGUAGCUGGUCUGAGAGGACGAUCAGCCACACUGGGACUGAGACACGGCCCAGACUCCUACGGGAGGCAGCAGUGGGGAAUCUUGCGCAAUGGGCGAAAGCCUGACGCAGCGACGCCGCGUGAGGGAAGAAGGCCUUCGGGUUGUAAACCUCUUUCAGGAGGGACGAANCUACUCGGGUUAAUAGCCCAGAGGGUGACGGUACCUCCAGAANAAGCCCCGGNUAACUACNUGCCANCAGCCGCGGNAAUACNUAGGGGGCAAGCGUUGUCCGGAUUUAUUGGGCGUAAAGCGCGUGUAGGCGGCCAGAUAAGUCCGCUGUGAAAACUCGAAGCUCAACUUCNAGCUGUCGGUGGAAACUAUUUGGCUAGAGUCCGGAAGAGGAGAGUGGAAUUCCUGGUGUAGCGGUGAAAUGCGUAGA